rnacentral:rRNA from 1 species
UCCAGAGGGGGCAAGCGUUAUUCGGAAUUAUUGGGCGUAAAGGGCGCGUAGGCGGCCUGGCAAGUGGAAGGUGAAAUCCCUCGGCUUAACCGAGGAACUGCCCUCCAAACUGCUUGGCUUGAGUCCGGGAGAGGUGAGUGGAAUUCCCAGUGUAGCGGUGAAAUGCGUAGAUAUUGGGAGGAACACCAGUGGCGAAGGCGGCUCACUGGACCGGAACUGACGCUGAUGCGCGAAAGCGUGGGGAGCAAACGGG